UACGUAGGGUGCGAGCGUUAAUCGGAAUUACUGGGCGUAAAGUGUGCGCAGGCGGCCGAGCAAGUCGAGUGUGAAAGCCCCGAGCUUAACUUGGGAACUGCGCUCGAAACUACUUGGCUAGAGUGUGGCAGAGGGAGGUGGAAUUCCACGUGUAGCGGUGAAAUGCGCAGAUAUCAGGAGGAACACCAAUGGCGAAGGCAGCUCGCUGGGACGGUACUGACGCUGAGACGCGAAAGCGUGGGGAGCAAACAGG
rnacentral:rRNA from 1 species